UGGGGAAUCUUGCACAAUGGGGGAAACCCUGAUGCAGCGACGCCGCGUGAGCGAUGAAGCCCUUCGGGGUGUAAAGCUCUUUCGGCCCGAACGAAAAAAUGACGGUACGGGAAGAAGAAGCUGCGGCUAACUACGUGCCAGCAGCCGCGGUAAUACGUAGGCAGCGAGCGUUGUUCGGAGUUACUGGGCGUAAAGCGUGCGUAGGCGGUUGUCUAAGUCUGGUGUGAAAUCUCCCGGCUCAACUGGGAGGGUGCGCCGGAAACUGGAUGACUGGAGUGCCGGAGAGGUAAGCGGAAUUCCUGGUGUAGCGGUGAAAUGCGUAGAGAUCAGGAGGAACACCUGUGGUGUAGACAGCUUACUGGACGGUGACUGACGCUGAGGCACGAAAGCGUGGGUAGCAAACAGGAUUAGAUACCCUGGUAGUCCACGCCCUAAACGAUGCAUACUUGGUGUGGGCAGUUCAUUCUGUCCGUGCCGGAGCUAACGCGUUAAGUAUGCCGCCUGGGGAGUAC
rnacentral:rRNA from 1 species